GGAUUGGGGGUUGGUCUAGCCCACUGGGUUGACCAAGAUAAAAACUUGGGGAAUUGUUUAAACACUAAAGUUGUUUGGAUAUGGUAGUGUGUGGUUCUCUUUUGGAAUUUUUUUCAGGUGAUUUAAUAAAACUUAAUACUACUAUAGGAGCUUCAGAGCAAAGGAAGUGGCUUAAUGAUCCUGAAGGGAUUUCUUCUGAUGGUAGCUUUUAUAUUAUCAAACUUUUUUCAGAUAACAUCUUCUGAGUCAUACCCAGCCUGGCAAUAUGAUGGCCUAGAUGGAGAGGGGAACAGCUCCUUGGUGAAUGAUAAGUUUCUCAUUAUCAGAAGAGUUGCUUCAUAUCAUCUGGGAGCAGAAAACAGCAGGCAGCUGUUCACAGAUAAGUUUAACUUGCAUCUGCAGUAUUGCAUGUUAGGGAUAAGUGCUAUGUUUAAUAAGAGCUGUGGAGGUCCUAGGUCCCUUACUCAAGGGAUCUCAGGAUUUUGAGGAAUUUUCCCAUCCAGCCUUUUAAAAUGAGACAGGCCUUAUGCCUGUGGGCUUCCAUGAUGGGCUAACUCACUUCACUCGAGGCAAGUAAUUCCUUAAAGCCUCUUGAGAUUAAUACCUUAAUAAUCAAGGAUAAUGUUGAUAAAAUAAAAAUUUGUUUAGCAUUGAUUCUUGAAAACCC
rnacentral:lncRNA from 1 species